rnacentral:rRNA from 1 species
CUACGGGAGGCAGCAGUAGGGAAUCUUGGACAAUGGAGGCAACCCUGAUCCAGCCAUGCCGCGUGCGGGAAGAAGGCCUUCGGGUUGUAAACCGCUUUUAGCCGGGAAGAAAAGGCACUCCUUAAUACGGGGUGUUCUUGACGGUACCGGCGGAAUAAGCACCGGCUAACUACGUGCCAGCAGCCGCGGUAAUACGUAGGGUGCGAGCGUUAAUCGGAAUUACUGGGCGUAAAGCGUGCGCAGGCGGUUCGUUAAGUUCGAUGUGAAAGCCCCGGGCUCAACCUGGGAACUGCAUUGGAAACUGGCGAGCUUGAGUGUGGCAGAGGGGGGUGGAAUUCCGCGUGUAGCAGUGAAAUGCGUAGAGAUGCGGAGGAACACCGAUGGCGAAGGCAGCCCCCUGGGCCAACACUGACGCUCAGGCACGAAAGCGUGGGGAGCAAACAGGAUUAGAAACCCGGGUAGUCC